rnacentral:rRNA from 1 species
UAGGGAAUCUUCCACAAUGGACGAAAGUCUGAUGGAGCAACGCCGCGUGAGUGAUGAAGGGUUUCGGCUCGUAAAACUCUGUUGUUGGAGAAGAACGGGUGUCAGAGUAACUGUUGACAUCGUGACGGUAUCCAACCAGAAAGCCACGGCUAACUACGUGCCAGCAGCCGCGGUAAUACGUAGGUGGCAAGCGUUGUCCGGAUUUAUUGGGCGUAAAGCGAGCGCAGGCGGUUUUUUAGGUCUGAUGUGAAAGCCUUCGGCUUAACCGGAGAAGUGCAUCGGAAACCGGGAGACUUGAGUGCAGAAGAGGACAGUGGAACUCCAUGUGUAGCGGUGAAAUGCGUAGAUAUAUGGAAGAACACCAGUGGCGAAGGCGGCUGUCUGGUCUGCAACUGACGCUGAGGCUCGAAAGCAUGGGUAGCGAACAGGAUUAGAUACCCUGGUAGUCCAUGCCGUAAACGAUGAGUGCUAAGUGUUGGAGGGUUUCCGCCCUUCAGUGCUGCAGCUAACGCAUUAAGCACUCCGCCUGGGGGAGUACGACCGCAAG